GAUGAACGCUGGCGGCGUGCCUAAUACAUGCAAGUCGAGCGAACAGACGAGGAGCUUGCUCCUCUGACGUUAGCGGCGGACGGGUGCGUAACACGUGGAUCACCUACCUAUAAGACUUUGAUAACUUCGGGAAACCGGAGCUCAUACCGGAUAAUCUAUUGACCCGCAUGGUUCAAUAUUUACAGACGGUUUUGCUGUCCCUUAUCGAUUGCUCCGCGCCGCAUUAGCUAGUUGGUAAGGUAACGGCUUACCAAGGCGACGAUGCGUAGCCGACCCGAGAGGGUGAUCGGCAACACUGGAACGGAGACACGGUACAGACUACUACGGGAGGCAGCAGUAGGGAAGAUGCCGCAAUGGGCGAAAGCCUGACGGAGCAACGCCGCGGGAGGGAUGAAGGUAUUCGGAUCGUAAAACUCUGUUAUUAGGGAAGAACAAAUGGGUAAGUAACUAUGCACGGCUUGACGGUACCUAAUCAGAAAGCCACGGCUAACUACGUG
rnacentral:rRNA from 1 species